ensembl:snoRNA
UGGAUGAAUGAUGAGCAGUGAGGGUGUAUGAGUCACAUGUGGUGAAGAUGCGUCUGGAACUCUGACGUCCAC